GAGAGAGAAAAGCUUGGUUCCAAACCAGGAUAUAUGAAUGGGACCCCUGCUUUCAACGCCCUAGCAGAAUGACUGGAACCACUGUGUUGGCUUUCACCUGUUUGUACCUUGAGUCAAUAUAGAGAAGAAGGGAAGUGAGAUGACAGCACCUAGAGGUCUACCAAGUUGUCACUCUAAAUUUUGCAAGUGACAAAGCUGCCUAUGGUGGCUGUGAAGUCUGACAGGCUCUUAGAGAAAGGAUGAGGAAUGUAUUGUUCUUGGGCUGUAUUGCAAAAACCAAAAGAACUAUCAGGCAAGAAAAAAAAAUGAACUACAGACAUGUUCCUGGACCAUGCUUGCUGUCUCACCCUCAUUCUAAAUGGUGCUUGCUGAUGAGAGAUGAAAAAGAGAAAGGACAGAGAUUUGACCCAACCAAUAGUAUUGGUCCUGCCUGCUUUGUACAGAUACCCAGGCACUUCUGAAAACCUCCUGAUGGCUUGGACAAAAAUCUACCUGCAGAACAGACACUUUACCCAAGAACACAUAUGAAGUGCCAAUAAACACAUGAGGAGAUGCUCAACAUCAUUAGUCCUGGGGAAAUGCAAAUUGAAACCUCGGUGUGCUAUCCCUAUACAUCCACUGGAAUGGCUAAAAUUAGAAAGACAGGCAAUAUCAAGUAUUGGAGAAGAUUUAGAGCAACUGGAAGUCUUAUACAUUACCAAGGAGAGAGUAAAAGUGGGAGUACAAAAUGGCGCAGCCACAUUAGAAAACAGUUUGACAGUUUCUUAAAACAUUAAGCAUACACCUAUCCCACAACCAGAUGUUCUAUACUUAAGUCUUUAUGCCAAAAAACCACAUCACAACACAAAGACCUGCAUGUGGUUGUUAUUACAGCUUUAUUUAUAACAGCCCAAACUGGAAACAACACAAAUAUGCAUGAAAUGUGAAUGAAUAAACAAAUUGUGAUAGAGCCAUGCAAUGGCUUACUAUUCAGCACUAAAAAGGAACCAACUACCACUGUGUGCAACUACAUGGAUGACUUUCAAAACCAUCAUGCUAAGUGAUGAAGCCAGACACAAAAGAUGACAUCCUGCAUGAUUCCAUUUAUAUGAUAUGCUAGAAAAGGCAAACCUAUGAUGACCAAAAAUCAGAUCAGUAGCUGUAGGGGGAGAGAAUUAACUGUAAAGGGGCA